GACGAACGCUGGCGGCGUGCCUAAUACAUGCAAGUCGAACGCUGAAGGAGGAGCUUGCUUCUCUGGAUGAGUUGCGAACGGGUGAGUAACGCGUAGGUAACCUGCCUGGUAGCGGGGGAUAACUAUUGGAAACGAUAGCUAAUACCGCAUAAUAGUAGAUGUUGCAUGACAUUUGCCUAAAAGGUGCAAUUGCAUCACUACCAGAUGGACCUGCGUUGUAUUAGCUAGUUGGUGGGGUAACGGCUCACCAAGGCGACGAUACAUAGCCGACCUGAGAGGGUGAUCGGCCACACUGGGACUGAGACACGGCCCAGACGCCUACGGGAGGCAGCAGUAGGGAAUCUUCGGCAAUGGACGGAAGUCUGACCGAGCAACGCCGCGUGAGUGAAGAAGGUUUUCGGAUCGUAAAGCUCUGUUGUAAGAGAAGAACGAGUGUGAGAGUGGAAAGUUCACACUGUGACGGUAGCUUACCAGAAAGGGACGGCUAACUACGUG
rnacentral:rRNA from 1 species